UCGGGGGCGGAGGCGGCGAAGGGGCGGGAGCGCCAGGAGGAGCGACUGGGCCCCGCCGCCCGCUCCCCGCCGCAUGGACGAGCACCACAGCCUCCUGCGCUCGCCGCCGCAGCCCUCCGCCUACCACCGCGCCCACCCUCCCCAGAACUCCGCGAGCGGCGGCGGCGGCGGCGGCGGCGCCCAAACCUUGGUGAACCCGGGCUACCCCGAGCCCGCCGCAGGCCCCGAGCCGCCGCCCGACAUGACCGUGGUGUCCGGGGACCACCUGCUGGAGCCGGAGGCGGCGGACGGCGGCGGGGGCCCGCCUCGGGGAGGCGGCGGGGGCUGCGACCGCUAUGAGCCGCUGCCGCCCGCGCUCCCGGCCGCCGGCGAGCAGGACUGCUGCGGGGAGCGCGUGGUCAUCAACAUCUCGGGGCUGCGCUUCGAGACGCAGCUCAAGACCCUCUGCCAGUUCCCCGAGACGUUGCUGGGCGACCCCAAGCGGCGCAUGAGGUACUUCGACCCGCUCCGCAACGAAUACUUCUUCGACCGCAACCGGCCCAGCUUCGACGCCAUCCUCUACUACUACCAGUCCGGGGGCCGCAUCCGCCGGCCGGUCAACGUGCCCAUCGACAUCUUCUCGGAGGAGAUCCGCUUCUACCAGCUCGGCGAGGAAGCCAUGGAGAAGUUCCGCGAGGAUGAGGGCUUCCUGCGGGAGGAAGAGCGGCCCCUGCCCCGCCGUGACUUCCAGCGCCAGGUGUGGCUGCUGUUCGAGUACCCCGAGAGCUCCGGGCCUGCCCGGGGCAUCGCCAUCGUGUCCGUACUGGUCAUCCUCAUCUCCAUCGUCAUCUUCUGCCUGGAGACUCUUCCCGAGUUCCGCGACGAGAAGGACUACCCCGCCUCGCCGUCGCAGGACGCCUUCAAGGCGCCCAGCAACAGCACGUCGGGGGCCCCCGCGGAAGCCUCCAGCUUCUCGGAUCCCUUCUUCGUGGUGGAGACCCUGUGCAUCAUCUGGUUCUCUUUUGAGCUGCUGGUGCGUUUCUUUGCUUGCCCCAGUAAAGCCACCUUCUCGCGAAAUAUCAUGAACCUAAUAGACAUCGUGGCCAUUAUCCCGUAUUUUAUCACUCUGGGCACCGAGCUGGCUGAGCGACAGGGCAAUGGACAGCAGGCCAUGUCCCUGGCCAUCCUGAGGGUCAUCCGCCUGGUGAGGGUUUUCCGCAUCUUCAAGCUCUCCCGUCACUCCAAGGGGCUGCAGAUCUUGGGGCAGACGCUGAAGGCUUCCAUGCGGGAGUUGGGAUUGCUCAUCUUUUUCCUCUUUAUUGGGGUUAUCCUUUUCUCCAGCGCAGUCUACUUUGCCGAGGCAGACGACCCCAGUUCGGGUUUUAGCAGUAUCCCGGAUGCUUUUUGGUGGGCAGUGGUAACCAUGACAACAGUUGGUUAUGGUGAUAUGCACCCAGUGACCAUUGGGGGCAAGAUUGUGGGCUCUCUUUGUGCUAUCGCGGGUGUCUUGACCAUUGCAUUGCCAGUUCCUGUGAUUGUUUCCAACUUCAAUUACUUCUACCACCGGGAGACCGAAGGGGAAGAGCAAGCCCAGUAUAUGCACGUGGGAAGUUGCCAGCAUCUCUCCUCCUCAGCGGAGGAGCUCCGAAAAGCACGGAGUAACUCGACUCUGAGUAAGUCGGAGUAUAUGGUGAUCGAAGAGGGGGGUAUGAAUCACAGCGCUUUCCCCCAGACCCCUUUCAAAACGGGCAACUCCACUGCCGCCUGCACCACGAACAAUAAUCCCAACUCCUGUGUCAACAUCAAAAAAAUAUUCACUGAUGUUUAAUAUAUGAUAUGAAUGACAUACUGUGCACAAUAUGUGUGAAACGUGCCCCCUUGGUCUGUGUAUGCCCUUAUUUUAUACAUUUCCAGACCAUUCAUCGAGGAAAGGACAGGAAGAAGUGAGAAGCACACUUCAUUCUCCCUCUUCUUAGUGCUUCACACUGAAACAGGUGCCUGUUUUGCAAGUGGGCUGCAUUCUCUCAGCUUUCCUUUUUUUUCCCUCCUCGUCUUAAUUCUGUGAACAAAAUCUUACAUUAAACUUGAUUUCUAGCACACGCCCUUUUGUUUUAAAGUACAUCCUGGGAGGAAAUGAAACAGGAACAGUUAAGACUUCAGAGUAACUGUUUAACCUCAAAAUUAAAAGGUAGUUCUUCUUUACUAAGUAAAGCCAGCGAAUACUGAAAUGAUUCUUCAGUUUGGUGGACACUGUAACAUUAUUUCUUGAGUGUUUAGUUCAAUUGUCUACUCUCGAUAUGUGGAUGAAAAGUCAAGUAGAACAAUGACAUAAACCCACCCUAAGUUUAUUUGGUUUUUUUUACUGGAGUUUCUGUUUCAAUCCUCCCCUUCUGGAAUCUUAAGGAUCUCAACAGCUCUGAACAAAGGGAAAUGCCCAAAACAUCCUGAUCUGGCUGAUUAACUCUUUGGGACUUGCUAAGCAUUUUGCAAGUAUUAGACUAAAAAAUUCCAGACAAGUUCUGUGCAUAUGUCCCAGCUAACAUCCAUCAGUCUAGAAACAGAUGUUUUUCAGUGCUGCUGAGAAACAAAAAAAUUCCUAAUGGAUCUGAGAGAUAAGCUUCUGCGGUAUCACAAGAAGAUUAAAGUGGCAGACACCCCUUCCAGCGGAAGUUACUAAUUCGGACCUGACUGAUGCAGUUCCCAUAGCAACCCAUGUUUCCUGGGAAACCCGAAAAAGGUUGUCAUGGCAUCUCUUGCUCCCUAGCCCCACCCCCAGCCCUUGCUGUUUCCACAGUAACCUUUCCAGAUGGUUCCUACUUACAUGAUUUCAUAAGGAAAACUGCUAUUUGAAUAAACCGCACAAAUAAAGUUAAGUGUGAGAAUCUAAGGAGGUGAAAGGAGUCACAAAAUGCAUUUUUUCCUAUGAACAUCAUUAAUGUUAUCCCAUAGUGGCUGAAUUGACAAGGAAAAUAUCAUCUUUGGAAUGUUACACGUAAACCAGGAUAAGGCAUGAUAGAAAUUAAAUGCCAGUUGUUAGGCAAUAAUUUAAAAAGAUGCUCUCUACAGUUUUCUUUCUCCAAGAAGUGAUAAGUCAACAAAAGCCAACGUAAAAGUGUCCUGUACAUAAGCAAAUUAGAAAUUCAGUCUACCUGAAAUCUUACUAGAAGGGCCCUUCAGACUUGCUUGUGAAAACAAAAUCCAGCUCCUGCAAAAAGGUUGUCACCAUUACAGCACUUGAAAAGCAAAAUAAAUAUUUAAAGAAUACUCAUUUUUAACUGACGGAAUUACAAUCAGUGAAAAGGAAGAUCCGAAAGUAACCAGAUCUCAAAAGGAACACCUGCAAGUUUCAGCCAUAUGCUAAGCGUUGCCAGCAGACAGAAAGAAUCAGGGUCAGCUAUAUCCUGUACAUUUGUCAGUUCUCCAAGCAGAUCCUUGAAGAGCCCUACAUGAGCAAUAGAGCAGCCCUAACCAGAAAGAUGCUAAGUUUUCAUUUGCCUGGACCAAGAAUGCAGUAGCAGUUUUUACAUCACUGAUGGGCAGGGAUCUGUCCACCAGCGCAUAUUUUUAUUUCAGUUUACAUUAAAUAAUGAUUUAUGUAAAGAAAACAGCUUGCAGCUGAAGGAUUCUCUUCAUCCUGUGUGCAGGAUAAAAGAUACUGAUCAAGAGACAAAGAAUAUUAAAAAUAUUAAGGUAUUUGAAUCUGUUGACAUUUUGAUAAAAUCUAAUCAUGCAAAAAUUAUAUUCAGUGUUGCAGAUAAAGGAAGCUUACAUGUUUGUUUCUAAUAAACCAACUAUUGCUAUCUUAUUUUUUAAUUACUGGACUGUAUUUAAUGGUGAGGUAUAUUCAUGUCAUACUAUGUGUUCUGGUUAUGUGAAACUUUACUUUUGAAGGUAUGUUCUGUACCAAAGGUCCCCAUAUAUAGCUUAGCCACUUACACAUAAAUAAGUAAAGUCGACACUGUGCCCAGAAUAAUGGUAUUAAAGACAGACUUGCCUAAAAGAAAUGUGCCUUGCUUUAUUAAACAUUCUUUUAUUUUUUAAUUUAAAGUAAUAUUUACAAAUUAGUCUUAUAGUUAGGUUUUAGCUUACCUUAACUUUACAAAAAUAUAUUAGUACUUAUUAUGUUUGAAGUGUCUAUGUUAACUAAAAUUUUAACAUUUAGUUAUACUUUUAAACAGUUCAUGUAUAAUAGUUCACUUUUAUUUUCAUGAGAUAUUUGAUAUGGUGAGACAAAGCACAUUCUUAAAGAUAUAUAAAAUAUUUCAGCUAAUGGUUUAGCUUUUUCUUCAAGAUUCUAUAUGUAAAAAAAUUCCUUGACUCAUUUUCUAUUUUUAUAUUCUUUUAGAAAUGGAACUCUUUUUCAAUUAAGAAAAGCAAAAUGUUAAUUGGAAAAGAUAUUUAGGGCGUCAUGAAGAUGAUUUCCCAUUUGGGGACAUUUCACUUCUGUGCCAUUAUUAAUGUAUUUACUGUGACAUUUCAGCAGAAUGGUAGCUAUUUGUAUAUUAUUUCAUAAGCCUUAUGGAAAGUCAAACUGUGAACAUAGAGUAUAUAGAAGAUCUUUUUCAUUUCUGUAUUUCAUUUUCAAAAUAUACCUGAAGAAAUAUAUUGUCGUAUUGCUUAAAUGAACAACAAUGCUAAAUUAUAAUUAGAGUGCUUAUGUAAUUUUAAUUACUAUAAAAUAUAUCAGGUGCGAAGCCAAGAUUAUAAACUUUUCAAUGCCUUUAGACAGAAAUACAGGUGAUGAAUUUCAUUAAUGUAUAGAAAUCAUUAACUAAACAAGUAUUCACCUAAUGGCAGCAAAACAUGUGAAUAGGAGAUACAAACCAGGUAACUUUCUUUGAGGCAAUGUCUACAAUAAAUGUUUCAUAAUCUUCUGGUAAUUUCUUGUGGUCAAAACUUGCAGACCAGAUCACUCUAGGAAAAAGUGAAAUAAAGGAAUGAGAACUGUCUCAUAUUUGAGCUAUUUGAAUCUCCAGUGGAGGUGAUUUAUGAUUAAAGUGAAAAUAUAGCCACCACUUUGUUUCUAUUCUGUGUUAGCCCAUGUAGUAGAGACACUGGCCAGGGAACAGUCAGUUCAUUGCAGCCAAUUUAAUCCUUAUAACGGGUGAUGAUAGCCUGGAAUGAUUGAAACAAACCGUUCAACUGUGCUACAGGAGUUCUUAGGCAUGCAGAUGUCUUAGUAGGGAUCAAUAGGUAUUACACAAAGAGGCAUAAAAACUACCCUCAUAAAGCACCAAGAAUACCAUUUUAGUCAUUAUAGUAUAUUUAGUAUCAUAUCUGCCCUAUUACUACAGGAUACAAUUUCAAUAAAUAUAGGACCUGGACUCUGAGAAGGAAAUCACAAAAUUGCAUCAGGUGAGUAACCAAAUACGUUCACAGAAUGGAUAAUGAGCAUAAUAUUCACCUAGAAUAUUACCUAUAAUUCUUACCUACUUCCUACCUGUGGGACCCUAGAUAAGUCAGUUACUAUAGUUAGGCUCCAGUUUUUUCAAUUGCAAAAUGGGUAUGCUGAGUUGAAUAAUCACCAAAGCCCCUUCAGGUCCCAAACCUGUUAUAUACAUUUCCUGAAAAAUACUUUGAAGGAUAUAUACCCACUCAGAUUUUCUGAUCCUUUUCUGAAGAGAAGAAUAAAUUGAAAUAAGAUUUAAGCCUUGAAAGUAUCAUAAAUUUAUCAUUCUUCAAAUUGGUUGUGAGAAGAGGAAAAAUAAUUCUUUCUCCUCUAAGAAUUUUCCCUUAUCUACAAUGGGAUCAUGAAAAAAAUAGAAAAAUCACUGCAGAAGGAAAACAGAUUAAUGGAAUCACUAGAAAGAAAGGGAGAAUAUUUGUUAAAUUUAGUUAGGUAUUAAUGUGGUUAGCAAAUGACCUAUGAAAUUCCAGAAUUUUAUUGCACACUCAACAUUAUAAGCCUGAGAUAGUGGAAGAUGGGAAAAGGUUAAGCAAUAUGAGUGUUUGCCAUAUGAUCUCUUGAUUCUUUUUACACAGAGAGCUUAAGCAGGUGUCUGUCUGUACUGUAGUUCUGGCUCUGCCAGUAACCCUCAUGUCCCCCAGGAAAGUCCCUUUAACUUCUCAGAGCCUCAGUUUCAUUAUCUGUAAAGUAGAAAUUUUUAAUUUAGUAAUCAGUUUCUUUUCAUUUUCAAAAAUUCUAUAGCAUUUUCAAAUUUUCAUAAUAUAUGCAUAUCUGUGCCAGUUGUCCCCCGCCCCAGUCACUAACAUGUCACAUAUUUCUACUGAAGGGAUUGACUAGAUUAAAAACUGAAACGUUCAUAUUUCUACUAUUACUAAUUGGCCUUAGCAAAACAUAAAAAUGUCAAAUCUUAUUUUCAUUCUGAUUGUGGCUUAACUGUUAUGAUUUAUCAUUUCAUCUUUGAAUGCUGAAUUCAUUGUUUACACAAAAUGUUUGUUCAAGUUAUUCUUCUCUUUAAAUUGUGGUUUCAUGAACUCUCAGUAAAGCAGAAUCAAGUAUAUUUUGCUUACCAAUGAACAGUAGCUGAUUGUAAAGUACAUUUUUGUCACAUUUAAAAGUUUAAUCCCCUUUUAGAGCCAGAAGCAAUGACUAGUAAACUAAUACUCAUAAAAUUUUAUGAAUUUUUUAAUACAAAGGAGGCCAGGUAGAGCCAUAUUGUAAUUAAUUUUGCUCAGGAGUGAGAAAUAAAAUUCAGGGAUAGCCCAAACACUUUUGUUUGGCAUUAGUGGGAAGUUGAGAAAUAAAAGGUUACAGUUUUUGCACAACAAAGAGAACAGGUGACUAUACUGGUUUUAUGGUAGAGAUUAGGUUAAAAGAAUGUUAGAAUUUGGGCACUAGAAAAAUUAUUAAAAUGACAGCAGUCCAUUUUAAUUAUACAGAAAUAUUUUGUCAUACUGAAAUUAUUCAUCCAGAGAUUUGGUAUUAUAUUCCUUUCAUUCAGAAAAGGGGGCAAUUUUUAAAGGCCUCUGUCAUAAUAAAAAUGUAUAUUUUGACUAGUGGAGCAAUUAAUUAAAAAACAUUAAUCUAAUCAUUUGGUUUUAUGAAUCUGAAUUUUUAGGUUUACGUAGAUGUGAUUGAGUCUCUCAUGUAAUAGUGUUAGUGAUCUUUGUGAGAAGUGAUUUCGUCCUUUUUGUAAAGUUUAUGAAAUUUGCUAAGUGGUGAUUCUAGCAUAUUGUAAUAAUACUGUAUCUUACAAUCACUUUAUCAGACCAAACAAACCAUAGUAGUAUCUCUUCUGGUAAAUUGUCUCUAUGAUGUGAUCUCUUAAGGCUGGGUUUGGGGGUGGGGAAGGUUAAGUAUUUAGUUUACUUUAAAUUGUCCAAAUGUUUUUCUCAAAUGCCAUAAAAUUGUAUGCCUAUAAACCAAAUAAGAAUAUCUUUUUUUUCCAAUUUUAAGGGCACUGUAUAGACCAUUUUUCAACUACUCCAUAAAAUGGUAUCAUUUAUGUUUAAAAGCUCCCACAUGUAUUUAUAUGUAUAUAUAUACACACAAGGGAAAGCAAACAGUGUAUGUAGUAUUUCUAUGUAAUAUACUAAGUGUUAUAAGAAUCUGUUUUUGAAAUAUUAAAUAGAUAGUAACUACACAGACAUCAAAAUACCAGAUAUACCAUCUCAAGUUUGUCCAAAAUUUGUUUAUUGACAUAUAUCAUACUUUGCAAACAUCAUUCAUAUAUUCCACACACACCCUACAGCAUCCACAAGAAGUACUAACACCACCCAAAAUUUAGAGAUUGAUCCACCAAUUUGGAAAGGUCAAAUGACUUUUCCAAGAUCAUUUGGCCAAUAAGUGACUCCAAAUCUCAUUUCUUUACACUAUUCACCCUCUGUCAUGUGAUCUUUAUUCUAUCACUGCCAUUAUAUUUAAAAUUUUGACUAAAAUUCAGUUUUAAAAGACGCAUUGCAGAAUUUCAGGUUUUAGUGAAAAGAUGUUGUUGCUGCCAUUGUCAGACCUUUUUAGAUGCUUAGUCCUUCCGUCGGGUGAUAGCUACACCUUUUCCACUUCAAACCUGUUAAGUCCACAACCCUGACCUACAACACCAAAUUCAUUUGACGCCAAAAAGCUAAACUGAAAAACAAUCUUCGCUGCUCUUUCUAAUUUCCUUUGUUGAGAAAUGCAUCAUAAUGAUUGAUUGAUUUCUGAAUAGUUGAAAGAAGCAACCCAAUAAGUUGUGACAGUGUGAUUCAGA